CUAUCGAGGUUCGACUAAGCCAUGCGAGUCGAAUGUAGCAAUACAUGGCGUACUGCUCAGUAACACGUGGACAACCUACCCUCCGGACGGGUAUAAACCCGGGAAACUGGGUAUAAUCCCCGAUAGAUCUCGGUCGCUGGAAUGCCCCGAGAUCGAAAGCUCCGGCGCCAGAGGAUGGGUCUGCGGCCUAUCAGGUAGUAGUGGGUGUAGCGUACCUACUAGCCUACGACGGGUACGGGUUGUGAGAGCAAGAGCCCGGAGAUGGAUUCUGAGACACGAAUCCAGGCCCUACGGGGUGCAGCAGGCGCGAAAACUUUACAAUGCCGGCAACGGCGAUAAGGGGACCUCGAGUGCCAGGUUACAAAUCUGGCUGUCGUGAUGCAUAAAAAGCAUUGCAUAGCAAGGGCCGGGCAAGACCGGUG
rnacentral:rRNA from 1 species